rnacentral:rRNA from 1 species
AUACGGAGGGUGCAAGCGUUAAUCGGAAUUACUGGGCGUAAAGAGUACGUAGGUGGUUUAUUAAGUCAGAUGUGAAAGCCCCGGGCUCAACCUGGGAACUGCAUUUGAAACUGAUAAGCUAGAGUAUGGUAGAGGGGGGUAGAAUUUCUAGUGUAGCGGUGAAAUGCGUAGAUAUUAGAAGGAAUACCAGUGGCGAAGGCGGCCCCCUGGACCAAUACUGACACUGAGGUACGAAAGCGUGGGGAGCGAACAGGAUUAGAAACCCCAGUAGUCC